rnacentral:ncRNA from 1 species
CUUAUCGAGAGUGGCGGAGGGACCGGCCCUAUGAAGCCCGACAACCUGCGAAAGCAAGGUGCCAAUUCCGGCGAGCGAUCGACAGAUGAG